UAUUAUUAUUUAUUACAACCUCUUUACCAAAUCUACUCACCCUAUAGUACAGAAUGUGAAUGUUGGUUGAAUGAUUUCGCACUGUCUAUUGUUUAUUAAUAUUUACGACACAGAAGCAUUUUCCUUAUCAGUACAGUGUCCCUUUUCUCUGAAGGUUCUUUGUUUAUUGUUCCACUGUAUUUCACUAUUUCUCCCUCCCCUAGGUACUAUGUGGCUGAGAGUGAGGCUCUACUCUCACUGAGGAGACCUGGAGGAUGAACAGAGCAGAACAUCCACAAAGUGGUGAGUGGGUGAUGGGAUUUUUGCAUACAGUGAAAUCUUUGGUCAUUAAAGUGUAGAUUUUGACUUUUUUUAGUACUGUUGUUGGAGUGUUUCCAUGACGACUCUUAGUCUGUUCAUAUCCCGCCCCUUAAUUUUUUUAGCCACCUACCUGUACAUGUAGCUGUCUGACCAGUGGUAACUUCCUGGGAUGCUUCCCAGAAGAGUGAAAGUAAGAAAAACUAACUGUUACCACACUGUAACUACAGCUGCUGCUCUCACCAGUAUUACCAAGGCCUAUGUUCAUUACUUGUACAGCACUCAAAGUUUCUCUGUCUCUUUCUCUAACCUUGUGAGCUGCUGCUUGGCUUUCAAUAUUGUUGUACAUUGAGCGCUGAAAGCUCUUUCGACUGUGUUACUACCUGAACAGCUGUCUGAAAGAUCUCCUGCAUGGUAUUGAUCCUGGACCGUCUGUAUUUGGGGUGGUACAUCGUAUCCAUGACGACCCGACUCAUACAGACCAGCAGAUGUACUCGUGUGGUUCAUUAGCUCCCAAAAUGAGGAGAGGAGGAUGUAUAGACUCACACUAUCACACGCCGGGAGAGCCGUGGGAGAGAAUGAGGGUUCCUUCUCCUGCUGGAGAGCUGAGUAGUGUAAGUGGGUGUGGUGACCGAGUGUUCUCCCUCCUCCCCCUCUGUGCUGAGACACUACAACACAGACACUACCCUAAACACAUCAACCUCCUGGAGACACUGCUCAAACUGAGCUGUGACAAUGCCUAGUCUGCUGGAGUGGACUGUCUCACUUCACUAUGUCAGCUGCUUGGGAGAAUGAUCCUCGGAGAGAGAAUAGAACAACACGAUCCAAUGAAUCUGGACAAGUCUGACAGUAACAUGCAGUUGUAUAAUUAAAUUAUCUUAAUUGUCUUUACUACUCUUUGCUAAAUAUGUGAACAGAUGCAGUGCUACGUACACAUCUAUUGUUUUCAUUGUUCUCAAUGAAUAAUAUUACGUAUCUGAUGCUGAA